rnacentral:lncRNA from 1 species
AUGUGCUAGAGGAGAGAUUUUUCAAGGAGUGGUGUUCAAGGUGGAUUUUAAAGAAGCGACUAUACAACCUUCGGAUGCUAGAGGAUGGAAAAGUAGUCGGGGUGCAUUUAGCGGUUCAACCAGAGCAUGGAUUUGUGGAGCCUUGGAAUGAUGGAGAUGGAUGAUCCACAUAGUAUCACAGCUGGUUCAGAGGAGGAGAAGGUCCUCUGGUGGUUUCAUAGGGGCUCGCGGAAUGUGGAAGGUCUAAAACGACAGCAGCGACGAUGAAGUUUAGUAGGAGGUCCAGCAGACCAGCAUUGGACAGCUGAUCUCAAAUCAAGUUUUGUCUUCUGCAGAGGCACC